rnacentral:rRNA from 1 species
AUUGAACGCUGGCGGCAGGCCUAACACAUGCAAGUCGAGCGGAUGAAGGGAGCUUGCUCCUGGAUUCAGCGGCGGACGGGUGAGUAAUGCCUAGGAAUCUGCCUGGUAGUGGGGGAUAACGUCCGGAAACGGGCGCUAAUACCGCAUACGUCCUGAGGGAGAAAGUGGGGGAUCUUCGGACCUCACGCUAUCAGAUGAGCCUAGGUCGGAUUAGCUAGUUGGUGGGGUAAAGGCCUACCAAGGCGACGAUCCGUAACUGGUCUGAGAGGAUGAUCAGUCACACUGGAACGGAGACGGGGCCCACACCCUGACGGGAGGCAGCAGGGGGGAAUUUUGGACAAGGGGCGAAGGCCUGACCCAGCCAUGCGGGGGGUUGGAAGAAGGUCUUGGGUUUGUAAAGCAUUUAAAGUUGGGAGGAAGGGCAGUAAGUUAAUCCCUUGUUGUUUGGACUUUACCAAAAGAAUAAGCCCCGGCUAACUUGGUG